GAGUGUCCCGGCUCCACCGUGGAGCUGUCACCGGUCAGAGAGGGACUCCAGCGGCUGUAACAGGUGACGAGCACCGGGGAACAGUCAAAUGUUGGCGCCAGCACAUAAUGCAUGAUGCAAACCGUGCACUGCCACCCCUGCAGACACGGCCUCGCUCUUUCUUUCAGCUGAAGCGACGAUCUUCACCAGUGUUGACAUCUGCCUACACAAGAAUAACUCUGCACACCGCCCAGUCUGCACAGAGGAAAAAACCGAAGCAAGUUGGACUUUCCAGCAAAUCCCACAAACUCUUGAUCAAGCUCUUCUUCAUGUUCCUCAAACUGUUCCUGACAUUCUCUGCAGAUGUUCCUGAAGUAUAAAACAGACACUAGAAUAAGGGGUACAGCUGGGGCUGCAGCAUCCCCUACUGGCCAGGGGUGUAACUGCAAGGAGGAUUCUGUGAAGCUGCUGACAUGAAAAUCGAUCGCUGUCAACGCGCUGCCAGUCCAGAUACCACAAGGGACAUUGACGGCCGAGGCUGGGUGUGAAGACCUGCAGACGAGGACACGUGUCCCUGGUGGGCCGGAGAGGACGGGAGGUGGGGACAGUGCAGGAGAAUGUGCAGGUUUUCAUGCACUAACAUGUCACUUCCCAGUCUCAGGUGUUUCCUGACGUGACUUCACUGACACAGCCGCUUCAUGGGCUCAUGUUUAAUAAAGUGGUGAGAGAAAUGAAAAUAAUAAUGAUCCAUAAUUUAACUUACAUGGGAAGAAAAUAUUUAUCAGGAUGAACUUUAGGAUUUUAGCAUUUAUUUCUUGUCCUCUGCUUAUCAUAUUUAUAUAAUUUUUCCAAAUUUAUUUGAAAGUUUACAGAAAUUACUAUAUUUAUAUACUAGGAAUUUUGUUUUGACUAUUUGUUUGUUUGAUUAAAUAUAUUUUGGGAUUUGUAGCAUUGUCUUGUAUUGAAAUCCAAGACAAUAAAAACAACUUCAGUAACGUUAUUAUUAUUGUUAUUGUUGUUGUAAAAUAACAACAUUUCAUUGAGAAAUAUUGUUGUUAAGAAGAAUUGCAGUAAACGACAGUAAAUCCUUUCAGUGGUGUGGAGUCUCAGUCUUUGAGGCAGAGUGCUCAUCCUUCCCCGGCUUCGAGUGUCACCAUAAGCCAUCGCUGGCUGGAAUCACAAGUGUCACACUGGGGUCAUCGGGAGUUUGCUUCCAUGAACUCUCCGAUGUUAGCUGGAGCAUGGAAGCAUCGAGGCCCCUGGAGGCAGUGCUGCCUGCUAAAUCUGUGUCAAACUACAUGAACCCGAUACAUCUCCUCUGCCCUGCAAAAUCAUCAGCGACAUCGGUUGUUGGCCUCUGUUGGUGGGACUGGAUCAAUGGACCGCCCGUGGUUACUGAGCAGUGUAAAUGACAAUUGACAGAGUCACUGAAACUACAGGGUCAAACUGGGAUGCAAAAAGUUUUAAUAUGUUCAUUGAAUUACUUUUUUCUUAUAAUCCUGUGAUAAUAAGCAAUUUAUUUUGAUACUAACACUGAA